AACUUUUCUAAGCCCCAGUCUACUCAUUUAUAAAGUGGGAUUAUUAAUAAUGUCUACUUCAUAAAAUUAUGAAGCCUGAGUUAGGUCAUUCAGAUAGUGUUUAGUCUGAUUCUUCGAACCUAGUAAACAGUCAGUAAACAGAAGCAAAUGCCACAUGCCUGAUUUAUAUCCAAGGGGAGAAAGGUAAAAGUGAAAUUUUCAUGAUUUAUGGAUUCAAAUUAUACAUUUCAAAGAUGCUUUAUAAGCUAUUGUUUUGGUAAGAAGAAUUGAGCUGAAACAGAAUUUUCUGACAGCAGUGAUUAUUAAAUGGUGAAAUAGGCUAUUGAUGUCUUUAGAGGAUAUAGAUGUUCACCUUUUGCAUAUAAGUGCACAAAAAUUCACUAAGUAGAUAUGUCUGUCUACACAGAGAGAGAGAGCGUGAGAGCAUUAAAGUUAGUAAACAUCCCCCUCGCUUUUUUGGUGCAAUCGUGGCUCACUGCAGUCUCAACAUCCUGGGCUCAAGCGAUCCUCUCGCUCAGCCUCCUGAGUAGCUGAGGUGUUGAGGUUUCACCAUGUUGCCCAGGUCUCAAA
rnacentral:lncRNA from 1 species